rnacentral:lncRNA from 1 species
AGCAUUCAAACGUACAAAAGCAAAUGCGUUGCAAACCGAGACAAGAAGUAUAAGCCGUGUCAGUGUGUGUGUGUGAGAGAGAAUGAGAAACAGAAAAACGGGGAAAGGAAAGAGGAAAAGUUGACUGGAGCAUCAAAGAUUUAAGCAGAAAGUGCUGACAGAGUUUUGAGCAUUUCAGAGCAUGAGGCAUCUAAUGUGCUAAUAAAUAAUGUUUCUGGCAGAUCAGAAUUCCGGAUUUUUGUGCCGAGAUGGGAAGAUGAGCAUUUGACUGCUUCUGGAUUUCAUCUUGCUCAAUUAAUGCCAUAUAUAUCAUAUGGCGCACUCAAAUCCAUAAAUCACAGGUACAACUACCAUUAUUUUUUAAAUGGUGCCGCAACUAUCAUAAUGCCAUGUAGAGAAAUUGAAGUUUCCUUUGGGAAGAUUAUGUGAACAUUAAAAUUUUAUAUCACUAACUGGAGAAUAAACACGGAAAUACAAUAGCUCUAAACUUCCUUUUAUCAUAUAUAACUGAAACUAUCAUAUCAAAGCAUCUAACUUCCCUGAGUCCACAUGGUGCAUUUAGGGUGAAUUCAUUUCACAGUUUUGGUAUUAAAUUAAUGUGAAAUUUAUAUAAAAGUCCACCUGAAAUUUAAUACAGAAUCCAGGUGCAGGGAUUGUAAAAUGGCAAUUACUUUGGAGUUCUUGGCGUGGACAGGUGGAUCAGAUCAAAUUAGUGUUACCUUAUAUUACACUGUUGCUGUUAUUUAAACUUUGCAGCCACUUACUGAUAUUUGCCCGCAUCGUAUUUAAUCUGUGAAUACUUUGUCAAUAGAUACAAUGCAGGGAAGUUUGAGUAAUGGAAAUUGAUGGAUGUAAACGUGCUUUUGUUUCUCUAAUGGUUACAAAAGUUCUUUGUAGAAGGAAAUAACGGAGGAAAUUCUAAUCUGGUAGACUGCCCAUGGUUCCAUUUACUUCGGGACUUGAUUAAGCUUCUGGCUUCCCCAGCGGAGCUCCUUGCCAGUGCAUGGGGUACUGCCGGGGGACCGCGCCCUCUGAGCACCUCUUCCCUCUGCUCUUCCAUCUUGUCCUUUUCUUCUCCCAACACUCUCAGCCUGGCUUUUGCAAACCUCUGCGUAUCAUGUGUCCCAAUUAUCGCGGUCCUCCGAACUGCUGUUCAGAUUAGUUUAUCUAAGAAAG